UCCAUUAUGAUCAAGAAAGUUUCCACGCAAGUUAUUUUUAUCAAGAAUAUUUCUCUUUGUAAUAGAUGGCUAUGGCGUGGGGUUUAUUCUUGUACUAUACUGCGAUGUCAAGAUGAUUUCUCAAAAUGUCGUCAUGAAUUUUUUUAURACGAAUUAGUUUGUCUCUAAGAUGAAAGGACUCCUGCGUGGAGUGCUGUUUAUAAGCCUUUUAGGCUUCAAUGAUACUUCACUUUAAAUUUUACUUACUUCAACUGGCCGCCACACCUUCGCUACACAAGAUGACGAGUCUCGACUUGAAAUAUCGAUUUAGCUCCGUUUUCAUACUAUGUAUCAUAUUUUCUCAAAUUUACUGUUAUUCCUGGACAGCAAAAGCUAAUGGUAGCGGUAAAUAUGUUGGAGAUGAAGCCAAUCUGCCAGUGGUUUGGAGUUUACGAAGACGACUGAGAAAUGAAGGAUCGCAAAAAUGGGAACUACCACGAGAACUUCAAGGGAUAUUCCAGUCAUGAAGAACACACAUUAGUUCACAGUGACGUAUGGAGUGCAGCCUGGUCGUAUCAGAGAGCUACAAGGACAGGCAGUUGGUGAARCAUCAUGACUAGACACGUUCCAGUKCCGUCACAGUCCUUCACUCCAAAGUCCAGUUWUACUUUGCCGCCCAGUGAAGCGCACACACAAGACAUUUGAAUAAAAAUGUUUUUAUUGACUUAYAUUUUGUAAUUUACAAAAAGGGGAAAAAUUGUCCUUUUCAAUGAGCGAAUAUUACUCAUGUUAGCCGUUCUUUUUCUAUGAUUCAGAGGAAGACUUGGGUUUCUUGCUUGUUGUCUUUUCAACCAUCCUGGAAAGUAAUGCGUUCAGACUGUCAAAAAUGGGACGCCAUAGUAACAAUAUAGGAA